CUCAGGCUCAGGCUCCUGUGCCAAGGUUCAUGGUGUUGGUGCCGCUCGGAGGUAAAGUGUGGAUAGGAUAGCAUAGCUAUCUAGCUUCUAUGUUUGAAUGUGUGCCUUCAUUACUGUUAAUUACAUAUCAUGUAUGUUUCUCUCUGGUCAGCUUCAACAUCCGUACUGGUGGCAGGAUAAUAGAAGAUAAACAUCAGGUUUAGUGUGGUUUGUUCCAAAAAUCAUUUCUGGACGGAAGCUUUUCUCCUAUCCAUCUACUGACUGAUCACUUAGUUUAGUAGUUAGAAUUGGAAAUUAUGUCUUUUCUGUACGUGCUGCAGUUCUUAGUUCCUGAUGCCAAAUUAACGUCCCGGUCUGCUCUACGAUUCUCAAAAAUUUAGAGAGUUAAUAACCUUGCUUCCUCAUGGUGUGUUUCAGCAGUGGAGGCUUGGUGGUGGGUCAAGCAGUGGUGGCACUGGUGCGAGGCAAUGACGAGCUGCUGUAGAUGCCAAACUACUUCCAUGGUUGCUGAAACUCCCAAAGCUGGUGUGUUAGAGAGAUUUUCAGAGCUGAGUUUUUUAUGAUAUAGCUCUGAAUUCAUUUCAUGCGAGUUGGGUAGCGUUAACUCAAAGGGCCAAUGAUUUCUCUGAGAUUCAGAAGCAAUAUUAAAUUCAUUCCAUAACGGAUCAUACCGUGCCCUUGUUGCUCAUCGUGGUGCUUGCAAAAUAUUGAGUGCUUACUGAUAAGAUUACUAACAUGUUCUGGAAUGAAUGUGUCGAUCUAAUAUGAAACGACUUA